AAUUCGGCGUUGAUAGGACUUAGUAGUAUUUCGUUUCUUGAUUACAGAGAGCUAGUGGUCGGUGCAAACUAGUACAGAGCGAAUUAUGAAUUACCCCCUGGAGCUUCUUUUACGAAACAUUUGGAGUAGUAAAAGACGGUAAAUAGACCGUUACUUCUACAGAGUGGUGAAAUAAAUCAUUUCACAAUUUAGGGUGGUACCGCGAGUUUUUCGUCCCUGCA
rnacentral:ncRNA from 1 species